GACGAACGCUGGCGGCGUGCUUAACACAUGCAAGUCGAACGAAGUGGCGAACGGGUGAGUAACGCGUAAUCAACCUGCCCUUCCGAGGGGGACAACAGUGGGAAACGACUGCUAAUACCGCAUACUGAAGGAGGGGAUGACGUUGGAUUAGCUGGUUGGAGGGGUAACGGCACAACAAGGCGAUGAUCAGUAGCCGGUCUGGGAUGAUGAACGGCGCCAUUGGGACUGAGACACGGCCCAGACUCCGACGGGAGGCAGCAGUGGGGAAUCGUCCGAAAUGGACGAAAGUCUGACGGAGCAACGCCGCGUGAGUGAUGACGGCCUUCGGGUUGUAAAGCUCUGUUAAUCGGGACGCGGUACCGGAAUAGAAAGCCACGGCUAACUACGUGCCAGCAGCCGCGGUAAUUC
rnacentral:rRNA from 1 species